rnacentral:rRNA from 1 species
GACGAACGCUGGCGGCGUGCUUAACACAUGCAAGUCGAACGGAAAGGCCCUGCUUUUGUGGGGUGCUCGAGUGGCGAACGGGUGAGUAACACGUGAGUAACCUGCCCUUGACUUUGGGAUAACUUCAGGAAACUGGGGCUAAUACCGGAUAGGAGCUCCUGCUGCAUGGUGGGGGUUGGAAAGUUUCGGCGGUUGGGGAUGGACUCGCGGCUUAUCAGCUUGUUGGUGGGGUAGUGGCUUACCAAGGCUUUGACGGGUAGCCGGCCUGAGAGGGUGACCGGCCACAUUGGGACUGAGAUACGGCCCAGACUCCUACGGGAGGCAGCAGUGGGGAAUAUUGCACAGUGGGCGGGAGCCUGAGGCAGAAACGCCGCGUGCGGAAUGACGGCCUUCGGGUUGUAAACCGCUUUCGCCUGUGACGAAGCGUGAGUGACGGUAAUGGGUAAAGAAGCACCGGCUAACUACGUG